UAUCAGUCAUGCAUAGCAUAUCAAUAAGCGGAGGAAAAGAAACUAACAAGGAUUCCCUUAGUAACGGCGAGUGAAGCGGGAAGAGCUCAAAUUUGAAAUCUUCAAGGUUUUACCUUGACGAAUUGUAGUUUAAAGAAGUGUUUUCUGUUGAAGUUUUGGUAAAAGUCCUUUGGAAUAGGACAUCAUAGAGGGUGAGAAUCCCGUAUUUGACCAUUACUUUCAGCUUUGUGAUACACUUUCAAAGAGUCGGAUUGUUUGGGAAUGCAGUCCAAAAUGGGUGGUAAAUUUCAUCUAAAGCUAAAUAUUGGCGAGAGACCGAUAGCGAACAAGUACCGCUGAGGGAAAGAUGAAAAGAACUUUGAAAAGAGAGUUAAACAGUACGUGAAAUUGUCAAAAGGGAAGCGUUUGACACCAGUGUUGUUUUCUCGAAAAUCAAUUAAAAAGAGUUGGAUUUUGUGUUGUAUUGACUUUAUCAGCUUUCUUCACUCUUUUCCAGCUUUUUUUAAUGCACUUUUCGUUUAACAAGUCAACAUCAGUUUCUUUUGUUGUAAAAAGGUCAUUGGAAGGUAGGCUUUCUCUUCGGAGAAAGUGUUUAUAGCCUUUGACUCAUGCAAUCGGAGAGACUGAGGUCUGCAGCGUAAAUCCUUCGGGGUUAGAUACAUUUGUGCUAAGUUAUAGCUUUUCAUAGACAACUUGUUGACUAUGUUUAGUCUUGUAGCUUACUCGCUUAUGCUAUUUUACCUACGCUUAGGAUGUUGAACUCUAUCACACACAG
rnacentral:rRNA from 1 species